AAAAAGCUGUUCAAAGUUAUUAUUUUUAAGUGAAUAUAUUAAUUCAAACAGGAGAUUAGGAUAUUGCUUAAUAGAAGUUUAAAAAUGUUGCUUAUUAAAAACGCGUAAAUACUACACAAAAACAAAUAAACAAAUAUAUACAAUAAAUAAGGAAGUGAUUGUUGAAACUUUUAAGUUAUAUAUUAAUCCACACGUUGAAUUAAAUAUUUGUAGCAACAAAUAUUUUCUUUCUAUUUUUGUUAAAACAAUAAAUCUUGGGAGAGCAUAUUUAUUAUUUAUAAUGAAAACACGUUCUAGAAAAAAACAAGAAAAAAGAGGAUAGGGCAGAUGAAAGAAAAGGGGUUUGGGAGAUUGUGUAAACAGAUGAUAGAAAAAGAAGAAAAAAAAAUAUAAACACCUUUUCGUCCUGGACGCUAAGGAUACUACAGAACAGCCUUAAGAAUACUGCAGAACAACCUUACAACUCUCCACAGCUGCUUCUGUGCGAUAACACAGACAGCAGACACAGUGCGUAUAAUCUUCUACUGGCGCAGCAAGCAAGGUUGUGAUCACGGACAAAAGAAUAGCAAAUAUACUUCGGCGCAUAGUACACUUAUAUCGUGCGGUAGCUGUAAAACUGUUUCAACUUUUUCUCAACUUAAGGUACUUUGAAAUCCAACUACAUCUUAACAAACCUUAAAUUUUCGUUCUGUUUGUUUUUAAAAAAACCUCGUCUAUAGGGCGAGGCUGGUUGUAUUUAGAUUUUCACAUUUUGAGCUCUUCACUGUAUGCAGUGUAUGCAACAUUUGAAUCAUCCUUCUGUGACUUCGAUAUAUUUCUUUGACAGAGUACGUAUAUACACAGUUAUUUUUCGUAAAAAUCUAGCUAUUUCAUCCAUCUUGUUUUUUUGUAAAUAUUUUUUAUCGAAAAAGAUUUAACUAACUGA